AUGUGGGAAGAAUGCUUGCCUCAUAUUGAGUUUGCUUAUAAUCGUUCAUUGCAUUCUACUACUAAGAUGUGCCCUUUUGAAAUUGUGUAUGGUUUCCUACCUCGUGCACCUAUUGAUUUGUUGCCUCUUCCAUCUUCGGAGAAGGUUAAUUUUGAUGCUAAACAACGUGCUGAAUUGAUCUUAAAAAUGCAUGAGUUAACUAAGGAAAACAUUGAGCGUAUGAAUGCUAAAUAUAAACUUGCUGGAGAUAAGGGUAGAAAACAUGUUGUGUUUGCACCUGGAGAUCUUGUUUGGUUACAUUUGCGUAAGGAUAGAUUUCCUGAUUUGCGCAAAUCAAAGCUAAUGCCACGUGCUGAUGGUCCUUUUAAGGUGUUAGAGAAAAUAAAUGAUAAUGCAUAUAAACUUGAGCUGCCUGCAGAUUUUGGGGUUAGUCCCACUUUUAAUAUUGCAGAUUUGAAGCCUUAUUUGGGUGAGGAAGAUGAGCUUCCGCCGAGGACGACUUCAUUUCAAGAAGGGGAGGAUGAUGAGGACAUCAAUACAAUUAUUACACCCACAGGCCCUGCUGCUAUACAUACUGGACCAAUUACUAGAGCUCGCGCACGCCAAUUAAAUUACCAGGAAACAGACCCUCGUGGUCAGGUUGAUCGUGCUCCGGCGUGGUCGAUAACCUCUCGGAGUUGGUUUAGCGAUUGCUAA
rnacentral:rRNA from 1 species